UGCAGCUUCACUCCUGAGCCAGCUAGACCACGAGCCCACCAGAAGGAAGAAACUCCGAACACAUCCGAACAUCAGAAGGAACAAACUCCAGACGCGCCACCUUAAGAGCUGUAACACUCACCGCGAGGGUCGACGGCUUCAUUCUUGAAGUCAGUGAGACCAAGAACCCACCAAUUCCGGACACACAAUGGUGAUGCUAAGUCCACAAUACUAUGACCCAGGGCCACUGAGGCCAGGCCAACGCCCAGUGAGCAGCGGGACAGUCCACACACAUCAAGCUCCUCUCGUGAGUCUAAGCUGAAGCCUUCGGCCACAGUGUAUGACUCUACCUACUUGCUUACUAAAAUGUGCCACCAGAGGCCUUCCCCCACGAUAAGAAGUAAAUUCACAGCCUUGGGGGUGAUAUAACCGUGUUCUUUUCCCUUCCUUUCUGGUUCUAGUUUCAGGUGGCAGUGAUAAAAGGAGUGUUCUCCUCCUCUUAAACUCUAGAUUGGAAAAAUAAAUGAAUGUGAAUAGACAUCCCCCACUCUUCAUUCUGUAUCAAAGCCCUGGGGAAUCCAUUUUUACCACACUGAGUCUCACUGAAGUCAACCGCGUAAGCUCCUGCAUUCAUUUCCAUGAGACUUGGCAUUGUGGAAAUAAUUGGAUGGCACUGCCCUCUAACACUCCUUUCAGGAAACAGAGAAAAUGUGCCUUUGCUAGUAGGUGGAGUGAAAACUCGUCUGAGUGCUGGUAAGGAAACGAAGACUUAGAAAAGUGAAAUAAUUUGCCCAUGGACACAAUGAUGGGCGAGUGCAUGACUCAGACCUGUACAGUCAUUUCAUACACCUGGAUAGUGUUUAUGUAAGGGAUAUAUGACUCAACAGGACAAAAGAACUCCCAACAGAACCUUAGGACGCUGGCAGAAACUACCAGGAAAGAGAAGCUCUCUUGCUACUGAAGUUGCUGAGC
rnacentral:lncRNA from 10 species